rnacentral:rRNA from 1 species
UACGUAGGCAGCGAGCGUUGUUCGGAGCUACUGGGCGUAAAGCGUGCGUAGGCGGUGUCUUAAGUUUGUUGUGAAAUCUCCCGGCUUAACCGGGAGGGUGCGGCGAAUACUGAGAUGCUGGAGUGCCGGAGAGGUAAGCGGAAUUCCUGGUGUAGCGGUGAAAUGCGUAGAUAUCAGGAGGAACACCUGCGGUGUAGACGGCUUACUGGACGGUAACUGACGCUGAGGCACGAAAGCGUGGGUAGCAAACAGG